rnacentral:rRNA from 1 species
UGGGGGACAACAUCUCGAAAGGGAUGCUAAUACCGCAUACGUCCUACGGGAGAAAGCAGGGGACCUUCGGGCCUUGCGCUAAUAGAUGAGCCUAAGUCGGAUUAGCUAGUUGGUGGGGUAAAGGCCUACCAAGGCGACGAUCUGUAGCGGGUCUGAGAGGAUGAUCCGCCACACUGGGACUGAGACACGGCCCAAACUCCUACGGGAGGCAGCAGUGGGGAAUAUUGGACAAUGGGGGGAACCCUGAUCCAGCCAUGCCGCGUGUGUGAAGAAGGCCUUUUGGUUGUAAAGCACUUUAAGCGAGGAGGAGGCUACCGAGAUUAAUACUCUUGGAUAGUGGACGUUACUCGCAGAAUAAGCACCGGCUAACUCUGUGCCAGCAGCCGCGGUAAUACAGAGGGUGCAAGCGUUAAUCGGAUUUACUGGGCGUAAAGCGCGCGUAGGUGGCCAAUUAAGUCAAAUGUGAAAUCCCCGAGCU